GACGAACGCUGGCGGCGUGCCUAACACAUGCAAGUCGAGCGAGGUGAGUACUACGGUACGAACUUAGCGGCGGACGGGUGAGUAACGCGUGGACAAUCUACCCUGUAGACUGGGAUAACACCUCGAAAGGGGUGCUAAUACCGGAUAAUGUCGAGAAGCGGCAUCGCUUUUCGAAGAAAGGAGAGAAUCCGCUAUAGGAGGAGUCCGCGUCCCAUUAGCUAGGUGGUGAGGGUAACGGCCCACCAAGGCGACGAUGGGUAGCCGGCCUGAGAGGGUGAACGGCCACACUGGAACUGGGACACGGUCCAGACUCCUACGGGAGGCAGCAGUGGGGAAUAUUGUGCAAUGGGGGAAACCCUGACACAGCAACGCCGCGUGAGCGAAGAAGGCCUUCGGGUUGUAAAGCUCAAUAGUAUGGGAAGAUAAUGACGGUACCAUACGAAAGCCCCGGCUAACUACGUGCCAGCCGCCGCCGUAAUAC
rnacentral:rRNA from 1 species